rnacentral:rRNA from 1 species
GAAAGCUAUUUAGGUAGCGCCUCGUGAAUUCAUCUCCGGGGGUAGAGCACUGUUUCGGCAAGGGGGUCAUCCCGACUUACCAACCCGAUGCAAACUGCGAAUACCGGAGAAUGUUAUCACGGGAGACACACGGCGGGUGCUAACGUCCGUCGUGAAGAGGGAAACAACCCAGACCGCCAGCUAAGGUCCCAAAGUCAUGGUUAAGUGGGAAACGAUGUGGGAAGGCCCAGACAGCCAGGAUGUUGGCUUAGAAGCAGCCAUCAUUUAAAGAAAGCGUAAUAGCUCACUGGUCGAGUCGGCCUGCGCGGAAGAUGUAACGGGGCUAAACCAUGCACCGAAGCUGCGGCAGCGACACUGUGUGUUGUUGGGUAGGGGAGCGUUCUGUAAGCCUGUGAAGGUGUGCUGUGAGGCAUGCUGGAGGUAUCAGAAGUGCGAAUGCUGACAUAAGUAACGAUAAAGCGGGUGAAAAGCCCGCUCGCCGGAAGACCAAGGGUUCCUGUCCAACGUUAAUCGGGGCAGGGUGAGUCGACCCCUAAGGCGAGGCCGAAAGGCGUAGUCGAUGGGAAACAGGUUAAUAUUCCUGUACUUGGUGUUACUGCGAAGGGGGGACGGAGAAGGCUAUGUUGGCCGGGCGACGGUUGUCCCGGUUUAAGCGUGUAGGCUGGUUUUCCAGGCAAAUCCGGAGAAUCAAGGCUGAGGCGUGAUGACGAGGCACUACGGUGCUGAAGCAACAAAUGCCCUGCUUCCAGGAAAAGCCUCUAAGCAUCAGGUAACAUCAAAUCGUACCCCAAACCGACACAGGUGGUCAGGUAGAGAAUACCAAGGCGCUUGAGAGAACUCGGGUGAAGGAACUAGGCAAAAUGGUGCCGUAACUUCGGGAGAAGGCACGCUGAUAUGUAGGUGAAGCGACUUGCUCGUGGAGCUGAAAUCAGUCGAAGAUACCAGCUGGCUGCAACUGUUUAUUAAAAACACAGCACUGUGCAAACACGAAAGUGGACGUAUACGGUGUGACGCCUGCCCGGUGCCGGAAGGUUAAUUGAUGGGGUCAGCGCAAGCGAAGCUCUUGAUCGAAGCCCCGGUAAACGGCGGCCGUAACUAUAACGGUCCUAAGGUAGCGAAAUUCCUUGUCGGGUAAGUUCCGACCUGCACGAAUGGCGUAAUGAUGGCCAGGCUGUCUCCACCCGAGACUCAGUGAAAUUGAACUCGCUGUGAAGAUGCAGUGUACCCGCGGCAAGACGGAAAGACCCCGUGAACCUUUACUAUAGCUUGACACUGAACACUGGUCCUUGAUGUGUAGGAUAGGUGGGAGGCUUUGAAGUGUGGACGCCAGUCUGCAUGGAGCCGUCCUUGAAAUACCACCCUUUAAUGGCUGGUGUUCUAACGUUGGCCCCUUACCGGGGUUGCGGACAGUGUCUGGUGGGUAGUUUGACUGGGGCGGUCUCCUCCUAAAGAGUAACGGAGGAGCACGAAGGUUGGCUAAUCCUGGUCGGACAUCAGGAGGUUAGUGCAAUGGCAUAAGCCAGCUUGACUGCGAGCGUGACGGCGCGAGCAGGUGCGAAAGCAGGUCAUAGUGAUCCGGUGGUUCUGAAUGGAAGGGCCAUCGCUCAACGGAUAAAAGGUACUCCGGGGAUAACAGGCUGAUACCGCCCAAGAGUUCAUAUCGACGGCGGUGUUUGGCACCUCGAUGUCGGCUCAUCACAUCCUGGGGCUGAAGUAGGUCCCAAGGGUAUGGCUGUUCGCCAUUUAAAGUGGUACGCGAGCUGGGUUUAGAACGUCGUGAGACAGUUCGGUCCCUAUCUGCCGUGGGCGCUGGAGAACUGAGGGGGGCUGCUCCUAGUACGAGAGGACCGGAGUGGACGCAUCACUGGUGUUCGGGUUGUCAUGCCAAUGGCACUGCCCGGUAGCUAAAUGCGGAAGAGAUAAGUGCUGAAAGCAUCUAAGCACGAAACUUGCCCCGAGAUGAGUUCUCCCUGAGACCUGGAGUCUCCUGAAGGAACGUUGAAGACGACGACGUUGAUAGGCCGGGUGUGUAAGCGCAGCGAUGCGUUGAGCUAACCGGUACUAAUGAACCGUGAGGCUUAACCUU